rnacentral:siRNA from 1 species
CUGAGUUCGGGUGGAAGAUGGCCC